GGAUCAUUCAACACCAGACUGGAUGCAUCAGCAUGUGGAUGCAGACUUUGGCUAAGGGAGUGCGAAGCGCAGAAACUGUGAUGAUUGUACGUUCUAGUAUCAAUUGGUGACAAUAAAGUAAAGGUUCUUUUGAAGACCCUGACCUCGAGUUGCACGCUGACUAUGGUUCUUUGCAGGAGUGGGACCCCCUCUUGUGCCGUUAUUCGGCAUGCCAAGGGCUUGGCCUAAGAGCUCAGCUCGCCUUCGAAGGAUCGAGAUCUCAUGGCUCUGGAGACGGGCGGAUUGAAGGUCGGUGUCUGGGCAGAUCAGUGUGUCAUGGGAGAUGGAAGAUCUGUGUGCCCAGAGACCAGAGAUCUUUGGGCACAGUGCUAGAAAAAAAAGUGACACAACAGACUUUUAGCAUCAUAAACCAGCAAGUUGUUUGUUAUGCCUCCCCUCUCGCUGUGAAAUGGAGACAUCCCUUUCUCCCUUAUUAGGGAGAGAGAGAGCCUGUGGUAUGUUGAAUACUGGAUGGACAAGUAGUCUUUAGAGUACUGUGAGUUUGUGUCUUUGCUGUUCCUUUGCUCAUGCUUGUGUGCCUGGUGGCCGGUGCAAAUGCUCUUUUUUUGCUGGUGGGGGGGGUCGUUAUUUGCUGCCUCUUACACAUGGGAGAGGAGGGGGACUUUGGGGUUCUAACAUUUAACCGUCAUUCAUUCUUUGGGAGCACUCCUCCAUUUUCGUGGAUGGUUGUGAAGAAAAAGCAUUUCAGGAUGUAUAUUGUAUACAUUUCUCUGACAUUAAAUGUACCUUUGAAAUGGAGCAUGGGUGGGGGCUGACCUAUUUUUAUGCCACUUAAGGAAAAUAUUAUGUGAACAGGUGUGCUGACUGGCUUAGCAGCCUCACAAUUCUUAUGUUGCUAUUAAUUAUAGAUAUAGUUUCAAUCUGUAACCCUAUAGACCCAGAAAUAAGUCUUCCAAUUCCAGUCGUCACCAUUACCUCCUUUUCUUUCUGGUGCAGCACCACCUUCUUGCACCUCUAACACAUGACAGAUGUCAUCAGCUCACACAAAAUAUUAAUGAAAACCAUGGACUGAUUGAUUGGAUGCCUUUAGGCCAUGAAAUCAGACUACCAAGUUGCGUGUGAUCAUCAGGUUUAUCGAAUAACUGUGUCCAAGUAAAAAAUAACAAAGCUUCGAUACAAUAAUGACAUAGGAAAACAAAAACUUAGCAGCAAGAUAUAUUCCUGUUCUAAAAGUUAUUACACCACAAAGCUACAUGGUGUUUAUUCAAUACAUUAGGGAAGUUAAUGAGAGUGUUUAAAUGUUUUCAUUUCCAUAGUUAUAAAUUUUUAUAGCACACUAGCAUAGUAAAAAUCAUACAUUGUGCAGUGCACAAGAUUUAAUGUUUAUUGAGUGUAUUAUGUUACUCUUUACUGAGAGGGUGUUAGAAAGAGCAUAUAUGAUUUGGGGAUUAUGCUAGAAAAGGCUAUGGAUAUCCGUUCACUUCACAAUGUCCUGAACAAUCCCCCUUGUUCACUGCCCCCAGCCCCCUUAGUUUUGUAAACACAUAAAAAUGAAUUUAAAGGAUUGGACAUUAUUCAUGAAACUGAGGAGGAAAGUGAGGCAUCAGGCAGCAUAACAUUUCUUUGAACAUUAAGUAAGAGGUAGCAGGUAGUUAGAUGUCCUGAAAUAUCAGUAACAAAUAUUGAGUAUUUAACUGCUAACAGGCUAGGAUAUUUUCUCCUUGUUCCUUUAACACUAAUUAUAUUUUUAACAAAGUCUCUCUCUAUUUAGUAGUACUAGAUAGUGAGGAUAUUACACUACAAAAAACACAAUAAUUUGUUGUAAAUACAAUUUAAAAAAAAUACAACACUGAACGUAGUGGUUAGCACAAUGCUUUAAUGUACCAGUGAUCUGGGUUCAUUUUCUGCUGCUGUCUGUAAGGAGUUUAUAUAUUCUCCCUGUGACCAUGUCGGUUUCCUCCAGGUGCUCUAGUUUCCUCCCAUAGUCCAAAGAUGUACUGGUUGGUGGGUUCAUUGGUCAUUUUAAAUUGCCCUGUGUUUAGGCUAGCAUUAAAUCAUGGGUUGCUGGGUGGCAUGGCUCAAAGAUCUAGAAGGGCCUAUUCCACACAGUAUUUCAAGAAUAUAUAAACAUUCAUAAAAAAUUUUUCUUGCUGAAAGUAGAAUGUAAGUCACUGUACAAAAACAUUCAAAGUUUUCUAAAAAGAAAGAACAGUAACGAUUACAUUCUGUAAGAUGGUUGAUCUGAUUUCAUCUGGAAAUAAAACAUAGUGAAACCUGCUUAACUGCUGAGUUCCUUCAGCAUUUUGAGUGUGCUGCUGUGAAAUCUAAAUAUCCAUUUAGAUAUAACCUGCUCAUGUCAACAAUAUUAACAUGCAACUGAAUAAUAUCAUUAAAGGACUAGAAGUUUCCUUUCAAGAAACAGAAACGUUGGAAGAAAAUGGGCUGGGAAAUUCAGAAGUGUUAAAUGGAAGGUGCCUUUACAUUUACUUAUUAUGACAAUACAUACCUAGAAUCUCACAAGUGUUUAGAGAAAGGAUUUCACAAUCUGUUACAGAGUACUGUAAUAAGUUAUACAGAAGUGCUUUAAAAAGUGCAUUAUAAGAUAGCAAAACGAACAUUUUGUAUUUCAGACAGUACCGGCAAUUACUUCAACCCAUUGUUUGAAGGAUGAUUUAGAUUGUUCUGGUGAGUGUUUCACACAAGUGAAAAGAAGGUAGAAAUUACACAUACCACUUUAUGUACUACAAACAUCAGAGCUUCAAUUAGUAAUACAGGCUCUCUUCCUUUAAUGAAUAAACUGGAAAUAUGAAUACUGAGUGUUGAUUCUAACUCUUAUAAAAUAAUAGAUCACUGAAGAAAUUUUUGCAAAAGCAAACUUUCUUAACAACUCUGAUGCUACACUACAAAGUAUUAUUUCUGUUCUCCAGUCUAUGAUUAUUUCUACUCUGUAUCAGUUCAUUCAAGCUUCAGAGUCAUUAUGGGUGUGCAUGCAGGAGUAUUAGAACAUCAGGUAAUGAUUACAAUUUGUGCCCUUUUUAACCACAGUUAAUCCUGACUGUGGCAUAGAAUAACUUUCCCUCUUAUUACAACAAUUUAUGCCUGGCUUCAAAUUACUUAUAAGAAGGCAGAUUAAAAUUAUGAACAGUUUAUUAAGAUAUCAUUUCAAUAAUUUAACAGUCACAAGUCUUCACUCAAAGUGUUAUCAAACAGAAUUUUCAUUUGAAUUUAAAAAUUAGCUUCAUUUAAACUUUCACCUUAACUUCUUCCCCACCACUUAGCACUUUAUAGUCUUACAUUGGAGAUUUCCCAGUUCCAUGCUACUGUUUGGACUUUGUCUCCGUUAAUUUAGGAGAGAGCAUAAAACUUGCAUCAUUGGGGUCUACUAGGAAAGAAACACCUUGUUGUUGUUCUGAUAAGUCUAUCCAUGGCCUCCUCUACUGUCAAGAUGAAGCCACACUCAGGUUAGAGGAACCUUAUAUACUGGCUGGGUAGCCUCCAACCUGAUGGCAUGAACAUUGACUUCUCUAACUUCCAUUAAUGCCCCUCCUCCCUUUCUUACCCCAUCUGAUACAUUUAGCUUUUCUCCCCCCUUUUUUUCUCUCUUUCUGCCCAUCACUCUGUCUGUUCUCCAUCUCUCUCUGGUGCUCCCCUCCCCCUUUCUUUCUCCCUAGGCCUCCCGUCCCAUGAUCCUUUCCCUUCUCUAGCUCUGUAUCCUUUUCGCCAAUCAC